CUCAAACUAUCAAUCAAACCUAAGAUCACAAUAAAAAUCUUUCAAAUACAAAACAACUCAUGAAAUUUCUCCCAUGCAUUUUUUCCCCCUCAGGAAGCUACUAGAAGAGGCACUUCAUUAAAGAGAGUAAACCAAGAAAGAGGAAGACAUGGGAACUAGGAAACAGGAGAGCCCACAGGAGAGGAGUAGAAGGAAUUUUCAGGAUAUGGGUGAAAGAUCUAGAGAUGCAGACAUCAUCCUGGAUUAUCUGGGUGGGUCCUAAAUGCAAUGACAAAUGUCCAAAGGGAGCCUGACCCUGUCUUUUGGACUUCUGGCCUCCAGAACUCUGAGAGAAUAAAUUUCUGUUGAUUUAAGCCACUAAAUUUGUGAUAAUUUAUUAGGGCAGAAAUAGGAACCUAGUAUAAUUGGUAGUAUUACAUAACCCAAAUGUCCUAAAAUAGCUAAUUACUAAAUGUCUUAUAUAUAGGAUUAGAUGUUUGGUUUCUUUCUUUCUUUUUUUUUAAAAUAAAUAACUAAAUUAAUUAAUUAAUUUAUUUUUGGCUGCGUUGGGUCUUCGUUGCUGCGUGGGCUUUCUCUAGUUGUGGUGAGCGGGGGCUAUUCUUCUUUGUGGUUCUUGGGCUUCUCAUUGCGGUGGCUUCUCGUGGCAGAGCACAGGCUCUAGGUGAGCAGGCUUCAGUAGUUGUGGCACACGGGCUCGGUAGUUGUGGCUCUCGGGCUCUAGAGCGCAGGCUCCGUAGUUGUAGCACACGGGCUUAGUUGCUCCGCGGCAUGUGGGAUCUUCCUGGACGAGGGAUUGAACACGUGUCCCCUGCAUUGGCAGGGGGAUUCCCAGCACUGCGCAGCCAGGGAAGUCCCAGAUGUUUGGUUUCAAGGAAAAGAAACCAUACAAGCUAACUCAAGCAAAACAGGAUUACUCUAAGAAUGCCAAGCUCAAGGAAUCUAUGGAAAACUAACCAAGCAUCAACACAACCUAGUAACUCACAGAGUACUGCUUUCCUGUCCAGUGGCCAAGUCAGCCAUGGGAAUUCCUCUUCCAAAUUCCCAAGAAAGGGCUUGGAGUGACCCAGCCUGCUGUACUUGCUAUUCACUCUUGGCCCAAUCAAUUUUCUGGGGGUCUUCAAGCAAUUUGUAAUUUGUUUGUCCUUUCUACUAAAUAGAUUUCUGCUGUGGCUUUUAAGUCUCAAAAAAAUUAAUAUGGGGCUUCCCUGGUGGCGCAGUGGUUGAGAGUCUGCCUGCCGACGCAGGGGACACGUGUUCGUGCCCCGGUCCGGGAAGAUCCCACAUGCCGCGGAGCGGCUGGGCCCGUGAGCCAUGGCCACUGAGCCUGCGCGUCUGGAGCCUAUGCUCCACAACGGGAGAGGCCACAACAGUGAGAGGCCCGCGUACCGCAAAAAAAAAAAAAAAAAAAUUUAUGUUUUUCCUUGAAAG